ensembl:lincRNA
CUGGGUUGUCAUUCUUGACCAGGCCAAAAGCUGAGUCCUAAGUGUAAAUGUUACCUUCUCUCCUCCCUCUGGGAUUUCAGAUUUGCAAUGGAGCUUCAGGCCCAAAUGUGGACACACUUAUGGACAACGUUCCACAAAUGGAGGGACACCAUCCUCUUCCUCCGCUGCAGCAUUAGGGGCCUGCUGUCCCAGAAGAACCCUGUGAGAUGUAAGGGGCAGAGCCACCAGCUCCAUGAGGAGUGGCGCAUGACGGCCACGCGCCUCGCCCUCCACCUCUGCCCGGCUCCCUGCCUGGCAGCCUGUCCCCAAGGGCUUCCCAGAGGACCCUUCAGCCACCAGCAGUCCGAGGAGCCCAGGGGCUCGUGCAUCCCCGGGAAGCUCUGUGUGGGAGCCCAGCUGGGUCAGCGCCCUGAGCAUGGAUCUGACACAGCGGCCGUGAGCCUUUCCCCCUCCGCCCCCCGCAUGGUCGCAGCCCACAGCGAUGCUGGAAAGCAGUGGCUGCUCUCGCCAGGUAGGAAGGAAAUGUCAGAGGCUCCCGGCUGUGUGUGCAUUGCCAGGACGCUGUGUGGGGAGGAGACAGGGCCCCUGCGCUCUCUCAGGGCCACACCGAAACAUGAGGUUCUCUAGUAGCCUGAGAUGAGCCCUUGGGAGCCUGGCAUGCAGCCAGCCUCAGGCCCCGGCCUGCAAGUCACUGCAUCUCCCUCGCCAGGAGUGCGCUUUUGUGCAUAUUGACACUCAGUUCUGGAUCGGAGGACAUAAAACACAAGCUCCAUCAAGUGGCCUAGCGCUUGGACACACCUGACCCGCACUGACAUUUUAUGCUGUCUUUCAUUCCCAUCAUGGCAGCGGUACCUGAUUCCAUGCAUGCAGCACAAUAAACGCUUUGAGUGUGAAAAGUCGAACACCUGAACCUUUCUGAUGAUUUGACACAACGUGAUCACAGCGACACUUCCCUCUGAGCACAGCAGGUUUUCAGGGCCAGUGCACGUCCUGAGCCCAGCCCUGGCUCUGGCAGGCUUCGUGCACACGGUGCGGAGUGCAGGCUGCUCCCUGACCCCCGAAGGGCAUCUUCCCAUGACUGGGCCGGUCUCGCUCUCCUCUCCCAAGGCUCCCCCUGCAAUCAAGUUUGCUUGAUUUUCCCUCCUCCUCCUCAGCAACGCACCUCACACAUCCCCUAGGAUUUCCUGAUCUUGGCCGCAUGUGCUGUUAGGUGUGGGUUGUCACAACUUUCCUGUUCUUGCACGAUCUUACAUUGGGUGUCCUUUGCCUCCCUGCAGUCUUAUCAGCACUGCUCCUGUAGGAAGCAUCACCAGAAAGGCAGGUAUCACCGUGUGUAGACGGCAUCUCCCCUUGGUGACACUUGUCCAAGGCCACUUUGUUUAUUUGGUGAGCAUCUUGGGUUGUGUGUGGCACAGAGACGCCCUGGAUAACAGUGGGUCCUGGUGGCUGUUCUUAUGUUUCAGAGCUGAAUGUGCAGGCGUCAUGUGGAACAAAGAUUCCUCCCAAGGGGGCUGGGGAUUUAGCUCAGUGGCAAAAGCGCCUGCCUGGCAAGUGCAAGGUUGUGAGUUCGGUUCCCGGUACAGGAGAAAAACCAAAAAAAAAAAAAAAAAAAAAAAAAAAGAUUCCUCCCAAGGCAGAGGGUGAAGCGAUUUUAGAGGCAAAUGACACCACCCUUGGAACUCAGUCCUUCGGCCCCUCUGAGCCUGUGGCCGCCCUGAAGCAGACUAUGAGCCCCGGUUCUGGCAGCAGAGCAUGGCCUGCAGAAGCCCCUGCUCUCAGGCUUAUGGUGCAGAGGUAAUGACAUCUGGGCUCCUCUGUGCUCUUACCCCCGACUGCUGUCCCCCUCAGACCCUGCUCCAUGCCUGGUUCCUCUCUUAUUGUGUGCUCUGCAGCAGCCGCGGGACCCUGUGUGCUCCCUCCUUUGUUGUGCGUGGGCCACCCCCUGCCAGGCGUUUCCUCCUCCAAGUCCUGAGUGCAGUCUCAGUUCUGCUCUUCCCACUGCUGCGGACCCCCUGUCCCGGUCACUGCCACAGGGAAGCCCGCCCUGAUUGUCCUCUUCAUCCCACGAAGAGCCUCUUUCAAGGCCUGAGCCCAGCUACUUUCCCUGAAUUCACACACUCCUUGCCUUGGCUGCCUUGUCCUCCCGGCUUGCCCCACUCCAAUGCCUCUUCCCAGGAGCUCUGCCCCAUGAACUACGGGCGCACAGCUCCUCCUCUGUGACCACUUUGGGGACAGACUCCAUCUCCCCCUCUGAGCUGGGACCCAUAAAGGGCGAGUUUAAGUUGAUGUGGAAGAGCCCUUAUUAGGAACAGGAAAUGGAAACCUGGCUGCAGGGGGGAGUCUCAUCCUGGCCUACAGUCAGCUUUGUCUCCGUCCCCAGACGCGCAGCCCUGGGCCAGAUGACCUGGGUUCCCAGGGUCUGUGUCUGGGCCCCCUGGACUCCUUGAAGCUGAUGUCAGCUGGAGGGUUCUGCAUGGCACCACGAGGGGCCAUCAGUCCUGAUGAAGAGGGUGGGGAGCUCUUCAGGUCGCAUGGAUAAGGAGCUGUCAGGCACUAGAGUCCCUCCUGUGUGUCCCCAUUUCCCCCAAAUGAGCAGCUGAGUCUGCAGGGCAGCUCCACUUUGUCCACAGACUGAGGGUAGAAGUGAGUAUUUCCGUGAACUACUGUGGGAAACGUGGACUUGGAGCUGCAUUUUCAGUUCUCUGUGAGUGAAUAUUAUCUCAGGACAAGGUGUGUCUUGGAGCACUCGGACUGUCAAAGGAGGGUUUUGCCUGUGAUUCUCAGAGGGAAGAGAUGAUCCAGAUGCCCAGUGUGGAAGGAGCUCUGGGUCAGAGAUGUCCAGAUGAAGGCUGGUGGAGGAAUGGCUGGGUUGCCCACAGACUCUGUAACUCCCAUGGACUGUACCUCCCAUGUCACAAGCCCUGGAUGACAUUAACUAAGAGAGUGGUUUAAACACACCUGUGAGGGUCUCACUUACAUGGCAA